AGCUUUGAGCAGUAGCAGUAUCGUAGCCAAUGAGGCUUAUCCAAGGCACGAUUAUUGCUAAUUGAAAACUUUUCCCAAUACCCCAUCAUGACAACUUGAAAUAUAGUCGGCAUUGACAAUUUUUGACAGUCUGUAUGGA